UACGGAGGGUGCGAGCGUUGUUCGGAAUUACUGGGCGUAAAGCGCGUGUAGGCGGUCUCCUAAGUCUGGUGUGAAAGCCCGGGGCUCAACCCCGGAAGUGCAUUGGAUACUGGGAGACUCGAGUACCGGAGAGGAGGGUGGAAUUCCUGGUGUAGCGGUGAAAUGCGUAGAUAUCAGGAGGAACACCGGUGGCGAAGGCGGCCCUCUGGACGGAUACUGACGCUGAGACGCGAAAGCGUGGGGAGCAAACAGG
rnacentral:rRNA from 1 species